rnacentral:rRNA from 1 species
UACGCAGGGGGCUAGCGUUGCUCGGAAUCACUGGGCGUAAAGCGCACGUAGGCGGAUUGCUAAGUCAGGGGUGAAAUCCUGGAGCUCAACUCCAGAACUGCCUUUGAUACUGGCGACCUUGAGUCCGGGAGAGGUGAGUGGAACUGCGAGUGUAGAGGUGAAAUUCGUAGAUAUUCGCAAGAACACCAGUGGCGAAGGCGGCUCACUGGCCCGGUACUGACGCUGAGGUGCGAAAGCGUGGGGAGCAAACAGG